AGGCUUCAAACGCGCGCGCCCCGUCCACGUCUUGCAUACCUUGAACCGGAUUUCGAAUACGCUUCCCAUUGUGGCCGGCGAAGCAGCAGCGACUCGCAGACACUCGUCAUGGCGCCCGCACUGAAUUGCGCUCCUUUUACCCUCGUUUUUAUUUAUUGCUUACUGUUUUCUUCGGUACUUUGCGAUGAAGACGACGCAGCAGAAGAGCACGCCAAGCACACGUACACGGUGGAAAUGUUUACCGAGGCGGUGACCACGGCGCCGCACUUUGUCAUGUUUUACGCCCCGUGGUGCGCCCAUUGUCAGAAGCUGCAGCCGACAUGGAAUGAAUUGGCAGAUAAGUACAACAACAUGGAAGAUCCCCCCGCCUACGUCGUCAAAAUAGACUGUGUUCAAAACACCAAGUUCUGCUCCAAAGACCACAACAUCCGAAGCUACCCCACGCUGGUGUUGUACAAGCCAGAACAGGCGCCUCUCAAGUACCAGGGCUUGAGAGUAUUGGAGGCGCUGGAGGAAUGGAUGUUGAAGAAGCUGGAGACGGACCCGUCCUCCGAAGCGGAGCAGGAGCCGGCUGUUCCCCCGGAGCCCAAGGACGGCAUGUACGAGCUCUCCGCCGGCAACUUCAAGGACCACGUUUCCAAAGGAUUGCAUUUCAUCAAGUUCUACGCGCCGUGGUGCGGCCACUGCAAAGCCAUGGCGCCCGCCUGGGACCAGAUGGCCUCCACCUUUGAGCAUUCCGAGGACCUCAAAAUCGGCAAGCUGGACUGCGCCGAACACCACGAUCUGUGCGUCAUGUUCAGCGUGCGCGGAUAUCCCACGCUGCUGUUCUUCAAGGGAGGUGACAAGAUCGAGGUCACGCGCUACAAAGGACAGCGAGACUAUGACACCCUCAAGGAAUAUGCGGACCGGAUGGUGAUCGCCGCAAAGACGCCACCGGAAGAAGCUGAAAAAGACGGCGAGGAAGGAGACCAGGAGGAGCCCAAGGAAGAUGCCGAAGGAGGAGCCCGCCAGGAGCCCGCGGACGACAAGGAAGGAGCCCGCGAGGAGCCCGCGCAGGCUGACGUCAAAGAGGAGGCAGCCCAGCAGCAGCAGGAGGAGGUCAAGUCCAACGUCUUACACCUGACGGAGAGCAACUUUGACGAGGCCAUCUCCAAAGGAUUCACUUUUGUCAAGUUCUUCGCUCCGUGGUGCGGCCACUGCAAGCGUCUGGCUCCCGUGUGGGACGAGCUCUCCGCCAAGGACUUUCCUGCUCUGACCAGCAUCAAGAUCGCCAAAGUGGACUGCACGGUGGAGCGCACGCUCUGCAACAAGUAUUCUGUGCGAGGCUACCCCACCCUGGUGAUGUUCCGCGCCGGCGAGCAGGGCGACAAGUAUAGCGGCACCCGCGACCUGGAGAACCUGUACAAAUUUGUCAUGAAGCAAGCGAGGGACGAGCUGUGAGGACCCGCGCGUCGGCGCAGCGCCCGCCCACCCGCCCGUCCCUCCUGCGGCCAAACUGGGUCUUUGGGUAUUUGUCAUUCUUGGUUCUUGGAAAAACCACUUAGGAAGUUUCUGAAGGGGGUCUCGGUUGUUUCCUGACAUGAUUUGUGUAGCCGCUUUUUUUUUUUUUAAAUGUACACGUGGGAUCUGUUGUUUGAGUGCAAGCCAUGAAUUGAUGUUGUCUCACCAGUGCUUAUGUGACUUAAGUCUCAGGGAAAAAGCUGAAAGAGCUUGGGACGCCCUCGCAGGAGUCUGACUUGAAGACGUGAACGCAGAUCAGCCCCCCCCACACCCCAAAACGACAUUCUAUUUUCUGCUGCUUCUGUUGAUCUCGAAAACCUGAACGGUACUGGCUAACAUCCUCCAGAGGACAAUGGUCUGUGGAGCCGCUUCGAGCGACCCCAGUGAGAUGUUGAACAAUCCACCUAGUCAGUCAGACAGUCUCAGAACUAUUUCCUCAUAUUUGGACUGUGUAAAUGAAAUGCGCUGCACAUGUUGCUCCUUGACACAGUUUGUGUGACAAAGUCAAACCAGGUAUAUACACACACACACACACAGCAAUUUUUGCCAGUAAAUCUUUAUGACAAGCACAUGGUCUACGGAACUCCAGUGACACUUGUUUUUGUGUGUUAUGCAGUCAUGGGUCGUGCACUGCCCCCCCCCCCCCAUAAAAUAAUGGCAAGUUUAACAUGAGAUUUCAUAAUAAAAGAAAUCUAAAAUAGG